rnacentral:rRNA from 1 species
UUAAGUGAAUAAGGGCGCACGGUGGAUGCCUUGGCACUAGGAGCCGAUGAAGGACGGGACUAACACCGAUAUGCUUUGGGGAGCUGUACGUAAGCUAUGAUCCAGAGAUUUCCGAAUGGGGAAACCCAACAUCUUUUAUAGGAUGUUACGUUUGCGUGAAUACAUAGCGCAUUCGAGGUAGACGCAGAGAACUGAAACAUCUAAGUACCUGCAGGAAGAGAAAGAAAAUUCGAUUCCCUGAGUAGCGGCGAGCGAAACGGGAAAAGCCCAAACCAAUGAGCUUGCUCAUUGGGGUUGUAGGACUCCAAUAUGGUAGUUCUUUCAGAUAAUCGAAUGACUUGGAAAAGUCAGUCAAAGAGGGUAAAAACCCCGUAGAUGAAAUUUGGAAGGCACCUAGGAGGAUCCUGAGUACGGCGGAACACGAGGAAUUCCGUCGGAAUCCGGGAGGACCAUCUCCCAAGGCUAAAUACUCCCUAGUGACCGAUAGUGAACCAGUACCGUGAGGGAAAGGUGAAAAGCACCCCGGAAGGGGAGUGAAAUAGAAUCUGAAACCGUGUGCCUACAACAAGUCAAAGCCCGUUAAUGGGUGAUGGCGUGCCUUUUGUAGAAUGAACCGGCGAGUUACGAUUGCAUGCGAGGUUAAGUCGAAGAGACGGAGCCGUAGCGAAAGCGAGUCUGAAUAGGGCGUUUGAGUAUGUAGUCGUAGACCCGAAACCAUGUGAUCUACCCAUGUCCAGGUUGAAGGUGCGGUAAAACGCACUGGAGGACCGAACCCACGUACGUUGAAAAGUGCGGGGAUGAGGUGUGGGUAGCGGAGAAAUUCCAAACGAACUUGGAGAUAGCUGGUUCUCUCCGAAAUAGCUUUAGGGCUAGCCUCGGAUUUGAGAAUGAUGGAGGUAGAGCACUGUUUGGACUAGGGGCCCAUCUCGGGUUACCGAAUUCAGAUAAACUCCGAAUGCCAUUCAUUCAUAUCCGGGAGUCAGACUGUGAGUGAUAAGAUCCAUAGUCGAAAGGGAAACAGCCCAGACCACCAGCUAAGGUCCCAAAAUAUAUGUUAAGUGGAAAAGGAUGUGGGGUUGCACAGACAACUAGGAUGUUGGCUCAGAAGCAGCCACCAUUUAAAGAGUGCGUAAUAGCUCACUAGUCGAGUGACCCUGCGCCGAAAAUGUACCGGGGCUAAACAUAUUACCGAAGCUGUGGAGUACACCAUUAGGUGUAUUGGUAGGAGAGCGUUCUAAGGGCGUUGAAGGCAGAUCGUGAGGACUGCUGGAGCGCUUAGAAGUGAGAAUGCCGGUAUGAGUAGCGAAAGACAGGUGAGAAUCCUGUCCACCGAAUGACUAAGGUUUCCUGGGGAAGGCUCGUCCGCCCAGGGUUAGUCGGGACCUAAGCCGAGGCCGACAGGCGUAGGCGAUGGACAACAGGUUGAUAUUCCUGUACUCGUUGUUUUUGUUUGAGCAAUGGAGGGACGCAGGAGGCUAAGGAAUGCAGACGAUUGGAAAUGUCUGUCCAAGCAGUAAGUCUUGAUAGGAGUCAAAUGCUUCUGUCUACACGGAUAAGCUGUGAUGGGGAGGGAAAUAAUAGUACCGAAGUUCCUGAUGUCACACUGCCAAGAAAAGCUUCUAGUGAGAAAACAAUGACCCGUACCGCAAACCGACACAGGUAGUCGAGGAGAGAAUCCUAAGGUGAGCGAGAGAACUCUCGUUAAGGAACUCGGCAAAAUGACCCCGUAACUUCGGGAGAAGGGGUGCUGAUCUUUGAUCAGCCGCAGUGAAUAGGCCCAAGCGACUGUUUAUCAAAAACACAGGUCUCUGCAAAAUCGUAAGAUGAAGUAUAGGGGCUGACGCCUGCCCGGUGCUGGAAGGUUAAGAGGAGUGCUUAGCGUAAGCGAAGGUACGAAUUGAAGCCCCAGUAAACGGCGGCCGUAACUAUAACGGUCCUAAGGUAGCGAAAUUCCUUGUCGGGUAAGUUCCGACCCGCACGAAAGGCGUAACGAUUUGGGCACUGUCUCAACGAGAGACUCGGUGAAAUUUUAGUACCUGUGAAGAUGCAGGUUACCCGCGACAGGACGGAAAGACCCCAUGGAGCUUUACUGUAGUUUGAUAUUGAGUGUCUGUACCGCAUGUACAGGAUAGGUAGGAGCCGUAGAAAUCGGAACGCUAGUUUCGAUGGAGGCGCUGGUGGGAUACUACCCCUGCGUUAUGGCCACUCUAACCCGCACCACUGAUCGUGGUGGGAGACAGUGUCAGAUGGGCAGUUUGACUGGGGCGGUCGCCUCCUAAAAGGUAACGGAGGCGCCCAAAGGUUCCCUCAGAAUGGUUGGAAAUCAUUCGAAGAGUGUAAAGGCAGAAGGGAGCUUGACUGCGAGACCAACAAGUCGAGCAGGGACGAAAGUCGGGCUUAGUGAUCCGGUGGUUCCGCAUGGAAGGGCCAUCGCUCAACGGAUAAAAGCUACCCUGGGGAUAACAGGCUUAUCUCCCCCAAGAGUCCACAUCGACGGGGAGGUUUGGCACCUCGAUGUCGGCUCGUCGCAUCCUGGGGCUGUAGUCGGUCCCAAGGGUUGGGCUGUUCGCCCAUUAAAGCGGCACGCGAGCUGGGUUCAGAACGUCGUGAGACAGUUCGGUCCCUAUCCGUCGCGGGCGUUGGAAAUUUGAGAGGAGCUGUCCUUAGUACGAGAGGACCGGGAUGGACUUACCGCUGGUGUACCAGUUGUUCUGCCAAGGGCAUUGCUGGGUAGCUAUGUAGGGAAGGGAUAAACGCUGAAAGCAUCUAAGUGUGAAGCCCACCUCAAGAUGAGAUUUCCCAUUUCUUUAAGAAAGUAAGAUCCCUGAGAGAUGAUCAGGUAGAUAGGUCAGGAGUGGAAGGCCAGUGAUGGUUGGAGCGGACUGAUACUAAUCGAUCGAGGACUUAACCAA